UGGCUGAGCCGGAACAUUGGUUUUCUCCUGCCCUUGGACUGGGACCACCAGCCUUCUGGUUCUCAGGCCUUUGGACUUGGACGGAACUAUACCACCAGCUUUUCUGGGUCUCCAGCUUACAGACAGCACGUUGUGGGACUUCUCUGCCUCCAUAAUCACAUUUGUUUCCAGUCUCCCUUAGGUCUAUUAAGUCCCAGGCUCUGGACCUCCUAGGGUUAAUGAUUCUCCCAUAAGCCCCUUGAAGUUGACAAGGCCGGGAUUUUAAAUUCCUCCUUUCACAUAUGAGGAAACCAAGACUUAGAAAGAUUACAUGACACAGCUGAGACUGAACUUCAAAUCAAAUGUCUUGAUUCUCUGUGGAGUGUCGUGUUGCCGUUCCAGCCUGGUGACUUGGCAGGGCUCUUGUUGCUGCAGGAGGAUAGUCUAACAAACCAGAGGAUGGAUCUUGGCCACAUGGACAUGAUUCCCUGGCGCUCUCAUGUUAUGAAUUUCCUGAGGCCUCUCAUGUUAUGACCCUGUGUGCUUAACCAAUACCUUAAGCAUCAAUUAUUUUGGAAUAAAACAAAAUAAA